UACGUAGGUGACAAGCGUUGUCCGGAUUUAUUGGGCGUAAAGAGCGUGUAGGCGGCUAGAUAGGUCCGUUGUGAAAACUCGAGGCUCAACCUCGAGACGUCGAUGGAAACCAUCUGGCUAGAGUCCGGAAGAGGAGAGUGGAAUUCCUGGUGUAGCGGUGAAAUGCGCAGAUAUCAGGAAGAACACCCGUGGCGAAGGCGGCUCUCUGGUACGUGACUGACGCUGAGACGCGAAAGCGUGGGGAGCAAACAGG
rnacentral:rRNA from 1 species